AUUGAACGCUGGCGGCAGGCCUAACACAUGCAAGUCGAGCGAGCGGCGGACGGGUGAGUAAUGUAUGGGGACUGCCCGAUAGAGGGGGAUAACUAAUGGAAACGGUAGCUAAUACCGCAUACUAUCGAAUAACCCAUAUGGGAUAAGCUAGUAGGUGAGGUAAUGGCUAACAUAGGCGACGAUCACUAGCUGGUCUGAGAGGAUGAUCAGCCACACUGGGACUGAGACCCGGCCCAGAUGCCUACGGAGGCAGCAGUGGGGAAUAUUGCACAAUGGGCUCAAGCCUGAUGCAGCCAGGCCGCGUGUAUGAAGAAGGCCCUAGGGUUGUAAAGUACUUUCAGUCGGGAGGCGUUACCGACAGAAGAAGCACCGGCUAACUCCGUGCCAGCAGCCGCGGUAAUUC
rnacentral:rRNA from 1 species